UACGAAAGGCGCUAGCGUUGUUCGGAAUUACUGGGCGUAAAGCGCGCGUAGGCGGCCUAGCAAGUUGGGGGUGAAAACCCAGGGCUCAACCUUGGAAUUGCCUCCAAAACUGCUAAGCUCGAGGCCGAGAGAGGAGUGUGGAAUUCCUAGUGUAGAGGUGAAAUUCGUAGAUAUUAGGAAGAACACCGGUGGCGAAGGCGACACUCUGGCUCGGUACUGACGCUGAGGCGCGAAAGCGUGGGUAGCAAACAGG
rnacentral:rRNA from 1 species